rnacentral:rRNA from 1 species
UACGUAGGGGGCUAGCGUUGUCCGGAAUCAUUGGGCGUAAAGAGCGUGUAGGCGGCCCGGUAAGUCCGCUGUGAAAGUCGGGGGCUCAACCCUCGAAUGCCGGUGGAUACUGUUGGGCUAGAGUGCGGAAGAGGCGAGUGGAAUUCCUGGUGUAGCGGUGAAAUGCGCAGAUAUCAGGAGGAACACCAAUUGCGAAGGCAGCUCGCUGGGACGUAACUGACGCUGAGACGCGAAAGCGUGGGGAGCGAACAGG